rnacentral:rRNA from 1 species
AGGCCUUAGGGUUGUAAAGCACUUUAGUCACUGAAAAAGGUUAUUAGGUUAAGAGCUAGAUAAUUUGACAUUAAGNGANNNAUAAGCACCGGCUAACUCCGCGCCAGCAGCCGCGGUAAUACAGAGGGUGCGAGCGUUAAUCGGAAUUACUGGGCGUAAAGGGUUCGUAGGUGGUUAAGUAAGUCAGAUGUGAAAGCCCUGGGCUUAACCUAGGAAUUGCAUUUGAAACUGUUUAACUAGAGUUUACUAGAGGAUUGGGGAAUUUCCGGUGUAGCGGUGAAAUGCGUAGAGAUCGGAAAGAACAUCAAUGGCGAAGGCAACAAUCUGGGGUUAAACUGACACUGAGGGACGAAAGCGUGGGUAGCAAACAGGAUUAGAUACCCUGGUAGUCCACGCUGUAAACGAUGAGUACUAGCUGUUGGAUCUGGUGUAAAAGAUUUAGUGGCGCAGCUAACGCGUUAAGUACUCCGCCUGGGGACUACGGCCGCAAGGUUA